AUUGAACGCUGGCGGCAGGCCUAACACAUGCAAGUCGAACGGGUGGCGGGCGGGUGAGUAAGGUCUGGGAAACUGCCUGAGGGAGGGGGUUAACUACUGGAAGCGGUAGCUAAUACCGCAUACCAGAGGCUGGGCCCAGAUGGGAUUAGCGAGUAGGGGGGGUAAAGGCUCACCAAGGCGACGAUCCGUAGCUGGUCUGAGAGGAUGACCAGCCACACUGGAACUGAGACACGGUCCAGACUCCUACGGGAGGCAGCAGUGGGGAAUAUUGCACAAUGGGCGAAAGCCUGAUGCAGCCAUGCCGCGUGUAUGAAGAAGGCCUUCGGGUUGUAAAGUACUUUCAGCGGGGAGGCGUUACCCGCAGAAGAAGCACCGGCUAACUCCGUGCCAGCAGCCGCGGUAAUAC
rnacentral:rRNA from 1 species